rnacentral:rRNA from 1 species
AGAGUUUGAUCAUGGCUCAGGAUGAACGCUGGCGGCGUGCUUAACACAUGCAAGUCGAACGGAGUUGAUCGGAGGAAGUUUUCGGAUGGAAUCGGAUUGACUUAGUGGCGGACGGGUGAGUAACGCGUGGGUAACCUGCCUCACACUGGGGGAUAACAGAUAGAAAUAUCUGCUAAAACCGCAUAAGCGCACGAGGUCGCAUGACCAUGUGUGAAAAACUCCGGUGGUGUGAGAUGGACCCGCGUCUGAUUAGGCAGUUGGCGGGGUAGAGGCCCACCAAACCGACGAUCAGUAGCCGGCCUGAGAGGGUGGACGGCCACAUUGGGACUGAGACACGGCCCAAACUCCUACGGGAGGCAGCAGUGGGGAAUAUUGCACAAUGGGGGAAACCCUGAUGCAGCGACGCCGCGUGAGUGAAGAAGUACUUCGGUAUGUAAAGCUCUAUCAGCAGGGAAGAAAGUGACGGUACCUGAGUAAGAAGCCCCGG